UACGAAGGGGGCUAGCGUUGUUCGGAAUUACUGGGCGUAAAGCGCGCGCAGGCGGUUCUUUAAGUCAGGGGUGAAAGCCCAGAGCUCAACUCUGGAAUUGCCUUUGAAACUAGAGAACUUGGGUACGGGAGAGGUGAGUGGAAUUCCGAGUGUAGAGGUGAAAUUCGUAGAUAUUGGGAAGAACACCGGUGGCGAAGGCGGCCAACUGGACCAUUUCUGACGCUGAGGCGCGAAAGCGUGGGGAGCAAACAGG
rnacentral:rRNA from 1 species